rnacentral:rRNA from 1 species
UACAGAGGGUGCGAGCGUUGUUCGGAAUUACUGGGCGUAAAGCGCACGUAGGCGGCUUUGUAAGUUAGAGGUGAAAGCCCAGGGCUUAACCCUGGAAUUGCCUUUAAGACUGCAUCGCUAGAAUCGUGGAGAGGUGAGUGGAAUUCCGAGUGUAGAGGUGAAAUUCGUAGAUAUUCGGAAGAACACCAGUGGCGAAGGCGACUCACUGGACACGUAUUGACGCUGAGGUGCGAAAGCGUGGGGAGCAAACAGG